rnacentral:rRNA from 1 species
UGAGGAACAUUGGACAAUGGGCGAAAGCCUGAUCCAGCCAUGCCGCGUGCAGGAAGACUGCCCUAUGGGUUGUAAACUGCUUUUAUACGGGAAGAAACACCCCCUCGUGAGGGGGCUUGACGGUACCGUAAGAAUAAGGAUCGGCUAACUCCGUGCCAGGCAGCCGCGGUAAUACGGAGGAUCCAAGCGUUAUCCGGAAUCAUUGGGUUUAAAGGGUCCGUAGGUGGAAUAAUUAAGUCAGGGGUGUAAAGUCUUGCAGCUCAACUGUAGAAUUGCCCUUUGAUACUGGUUAUCUUGAAUUAUUGUGAAGUGGUUAGAAUAUGUAGUGUAGCGGUGAAAUGCAUAGAUAUUACAUAAGAAUACCAAUUGCGAAGGCAGAUCACUAACAAUAUAUUGACACUGAUGGACGAAAGCGUGGGUAGCGAACAGGAUUAGAUACCCUGGUAGUCCACGCCGUAAACGAUGGAUACUAGCUGUUCGGAUUUAUCUGAGUGGCUAA